rnacentral:rRNA from 1 species
UUUCCCUCAGGAUAGCUGGCACUCGCUCGAGCGAGUCUCAUCUGGUAAAGCGAAUGAUUAGAGGCCUUGGGGCCGAAACGACCUCAACCUAUUCUCAAACUUUAAAUGGGUGAGAUCUCUGGCUUGCUUGAACGUUGAAGCCACGAGAUAAUUUAUUUUAAUUCUUGGAUCAGAGUGCCAAGUGGGCCAAUUUUGGUAAGCAGAACUGGCGCUGUGGGA